UGUACAUGGGUCCAAAUUCCUCUUCUGUGAUUAAUCAGCUGAGAGAUGGUGGGUGAAUCUCUUCAUGUCUCUGUGCCAUAGUUUCCCAUAUUUAAGGAAGAUAACACCUUCCUCCAACCCUGGACAUCCGCCUGGCCUUCCAGAAAGGGUCACUGACUAGCCAAAAAUAUCUUCUUUCUUGGGGAUGGAAAUGCAGGAGUCUCUGAGGGAUAUGGAGUGUGUCAGGGAGGCAGCAGCCCAUUUCUGGGUAUGCUCCCCUCUCCGGGCUGCCUGGGCUGGUGGGAAGCCGUGGGUAGGCAGAAGCAGCCCCAAGACACUCUGUGCCUCCAGGAGCUGCUGUGGCUUUCUUUGAGGAGAGAGCCCGCCAGCUGGGCCUGGGCUGUCAGAAAGUGGAGGUGAGCCGGGGGCCCUAAGCGGGGAAGGGAGGUGGGCCUGGGCACCUCCUCACCCUGCUCAGACCACCUACCCUCAUGACCAUCUCCAGGUGGCACCUGGCUAUGUGGUGACCGUGUUGACCUGGCCAGGCACCAACCCUACACUCUCCUCCAUCUUGCUCAACUCCCACACGGAUGUGGUGCCUGUCUUCAAGGAACAUUGGAGUCACGACCCCUUUGAGGCCUUCAAGGAUUCUGAGGGCUACAUCUAUGCCAGGGGUGCCCAGGACAUGAAGUGCAUCAGCAUCCAGUACCUGGAAGCUGUGAGGAGGCUGAAGGUGGAGGGCCACCGGUUCCCCAGAACCAUCCACAUGACCUUUGUACCUGAUGAGGAGGUUGGUGGUCACCAAGGCAUGGAGCUGUUCGUGCAGCGGCCUGAGUUCCAUGCCCUGAGGGCAGGCUUUGCCCUGGAUGAGGGCAUAGCCAAUCCCACUGAUGCCUUCACUGUCUUUUAUAGUGAGCGGAGUCCCUGGUGGGUGCGGGUCACCAGCACUGGGAGGCCAGGCCAUGCCUCACGCUUCAUGGAGGACACAGCAGCAGAGAAGCUGGUACGUGGCACCCCGGGAGGGAGUCUGGGAGUUCAAGAGGCUCUAUCCUGAGGCCACUGUCCCAUUUAACCUCAUGUUCUCGUAGCACAAGGUUGUGAGCUCCAUCCUGGCAUUCCGGGAGAAGGAAUGGCAGAGGUGAGGCAGCCUGGGAAGCGGUGGGGUGGCUCUGGGAGGCGGUACCACAGAGGAUAGAGUCUGAGCCACCUCUUUUAUCUGUUGCUGCCGCUACCCUGCCCCCGCACUACAGGCUGCAGUCAAACCCCCACCUGAAAGAGGGGUCCGUGACCUCCGUGAACCUGACUAAGCUAGAGGGUGGCGUGGCCUAUAACGUGAUACCUGCCACCAUGAGCGCCAGCUUUGACUUCCGUGUGGCACCGGAUAUGGACUUCAAGGCUUUUGAGGAGCAGCUGCAGAGCUGGUGCCAGGCAGCUGGCGAGGGGGUCACCUUAGAGUUUGCUCAGAAGUGGAUGCACCCCCAAGUGACACCUACUGAUGACUCAAACCCCUGGUGGGCAGCUUUUAGCCGGGUCUGCAAGGACAUGAAGCUUACUCUGGAGCCUGAGAUCAUGCCUGCUGCCACUGACAACCGCUAUAUCCGCGCGGUGGGGAUCCCAGCUCUAGGCUUCUCACCCAUGAACCGCACACCUGUGCUGCUGCACGACCACGAUGAACGGCUGCAUGAGGCUGUGUUCCUCCGUGGGGUGGACAUAUAUACACGCCUGCUGCCUGCCCUUGCCAGUGUGCCUGCCCUGCCCAGUGAGAGCUGAGCCCCGGAACUCCUCAACCUUUGCCCCUGGGGCUUCCAUCCCAACCAGUGCCAAGGACCUCCUCUUCCCCCUUCCAAAUAAUAAAGUCUAUGGACAGGGCUG
rnacentral:sRNA from 1 species